rnacentral:rRNA from 1 species
UUUGUUGAAAGGGAAGGGCAUUAGAUCAGACUUGGUGUUUUACGAUUAUCUUCUCUUCUUGAGUUGUGCACUCGUAUUUCACUGGGCCAGCAUCGAUUCGGAUGGCAAGAUAAUGGCAGUUGAAUGUGGCUUCACUUCGGUGGAGUGUUAUAGCUUCUGCUGAUAUGCCUUCUAUCG